UGCCUGCAGUAGAAACACAGUGCACCCGUGUGCACAGGGCCCACUUCCUGGGUGUGUGUCCUGUGUUCAGACGGCACCUGUGUUCAGAAGGGACCUGUGCUUCACUUAAUGUUUUGCUGUUGCCAUCAUGAAAUGCAUAAAACUUUUUGAGCACUGAGUCCCACAUUUUCAUUUUGCACUGGGCCCCACAAAUUACAUCUUGCAAUUACUUGCACUCUACACACACGCUACAAUUUUGCAAACCACCUUGGAUGUGCAGGAACCCCAUGAGGCUAUUCAAAGACUCCUCUGCUUUCCUGGAAGGCUGUGUAUGUGUGUGUGUGUGUGGGUCUGCAGGUGUGUGUGUGUGUGUGUGUGUAGGUCGCAAGUUGUCGGGUAGAGCUGGGCACCCUGGCUGAAAGUAGGGCCAAUGAACGGGAGAAGAAGCAGGGGAUGGCAUCAGUUUCCACAAGGUCUGUGACAGCAACUUCCUCACCUCCGAGAGAGGAAGCCCGGUGCUGGAAUAAACAGCCACAGUCCUAACCCGUGUCCUUACAGACCUGCCACCUGGGGACCUGCACAAGGAGCCUUUGUUGGGCCUCACGAGUAACAGAGCACAAGUGGGGGAAGGACAGAGAGCGAGGGAGACACAGAAUCCAAAGCAGGCUCCAGGCUCCGAGCUGUCAGCACAGAACCCAACGCGGGGCUUGAACCCACAAACCGUGAGAUCAUGACCUGAGCUGAAGUCGGACACUUAACCGACUGAGUCAGCCAGGCGCCCCAGGAUCUUCUUGUUGAAAUCAUCUUAUUGAGGGGCGGCAGGAGAAGGGAGGACAAUGAGAUUCCGUGUCCUUGGCUGGCUGAGAUCUGCCCAGCUCUACAGUCUCUGAGUGCCACGUCAGAUUCCUUCUUAGGUAAUACCUGUAUGUAUGUAUGUGUGUACGCUCUAUGCCCAACAAGGCUUCAACUCACCACCCGAGAUCAAGAGUCACAUGCUCUAUCGACUGAGCCAGCCGGGUGCCCGAAAGGUGAGGUGGGAUUUUCUAAGUCAGAAAUGCGCUCAGAAUGCUGCUUCCUGUGGCCAGCUGGAAGGCCCCCAGACCCACCCGUGAGAGUGGAGACACCCAGGCAAGGGGUGGGCACGAAGACGGCCACACGGCACCCGGAGGACAGAGAGAACACAGAGACCCUCAGCAAUCCUGAGAGGCCUGCUGGGUGGGGGAGGGGCCUUCAUACAAUUCUCCCUCUGAUCUGUCACCUUGGGCAAGUGGCUUAACUUCUCUGUGACUCAGCUUUCCCAUCUGUGAAAUGGGGAUAAUAAUAUUACCCUACCCCCCAGGGUUGUUGUGAGCAUUGAAUUUAGUGGAACGUCCCUCUAACCAAGUAAAAUAAACAGUAGCUGUAGUUAUUACUAU